CGGACCACUGAAGAAGCAUGAAGUAAAAUAAGUACAAAUAAGUCUUUGCAGAUCACAGAUGCACACAGAAGGCUGACUACACUCUGUGCCACACUUCAGAGGCAGAAGUCUUAGCAUAUGGAACAGAUAUCAAAAGUGCUUGGCAUCAGGUUUUCAAAACAGCUUUCUACUCUACAUUCUCCACUCUGCACAGACAGUGUAAUAAUGAGUAAAACACAACUCCUGUUGCACAGUUUGCCUUUUAUUCCAAAAUUGCAACUUUGACCUCUACCCUUUCCUGAGCUGGAUGAGGGGACUCCCUCUUUCUCUGCAGGAUCCUAGUCUUCUCCAUGUUCAGAUAGAAGCUGCAUCAGAGUAGGUGGGAGAGCUUAGAUUGAUUUCCUUGGUCAAAAGAUGCCAAGAAUAUGGAGGCAUGGCUUUGGAGUUCAAAUUAUCAAAAG
rnacentral:lncRNA from 1 species